GCCAGGGAAGCGGCGGAGUGAUCCAGCCGUGGAGGCUACACGAGUGAGAAUGCAGGCAUGAGUAGCGAAUGACGGGCGAGAAACCCGUCCGCCGAAUAACCAAGGGUUCCAGGGUCAAGCUAAUCUGCCCUGGGUAAGUCGGGACCUAAGGCGAGGCCGACAGGCGUAGUCGAUGGACAUCCGGUUGAUAUUCCGGAACCGGCGAAGAACCGCCCAUACCGAACCACGUAAUGCUAAGCGCCUGAAGGGCUGGUGAGUCUUCGGACAAUCCGGCCUGGAGCGCGCGACCCGAGCGUGUAGUAGGUAAGCGAUGGAGGGACGCAGGAAGGUAGCCGAACCGCGGCGAUGGUAGACCGCGGGUAAGGAUGUAGGGCGAGGUGUAGGCAAAUCCGUACCUCAUAUGCCUGAGAUCUUAUACGGACGCAUUAGCGGAAGUCGGUAAUCCUAUGCUGCCAAGAAAAUCCUCUAGCGAGGUUCGAGCCGCCCGUACCCCAAACCGACUCAGGUGGCUAGGUAGAGAAUACCAAGGCGAUCGAGUGAAUCGUGGUUAAGGAACUCGGCAAAAUACCCCCGUAACUUCGGGAGAAGGGGGGCCCAGAGGGUGACGGAGACUAGCGCUCCUGAGCCUGAACGGCCGCAGAGACCAGGGAGAAGCGACUGUUUACUAAAAACACAGGUCCGUGCCAAGUCGCAAGACGAUGUAUACGGACUGACGCCUGCCCGGUGCUGGAACGUUAAGGGGACCGGUUAGCCUCACGGCGAAGCUGAGAACUUAAGCGCCAGUAAACGGCGGUGGUAACUAUAACCAUCCUAAGGUAGCGAAAUUCCUUGUCGGGUAAGUUCCGACCUGCACGAAUGGCGUAACGACUUCUCCACUGUCUCAACCACGAACUCGGCGAAAUUACACUACGAGUAAAGAUGCUCGUUACGCGCAGAAGGACGGAAAGACCCCGGGACCUUUACUACAGCUUGGUAUUGGUGUUCGGAACGGCUUGUGUAGGAUAGGUGGGAGGCUUUGAAGCUGAUACGCCAGUAUCGGUGGAGCCAACGUUGAAAUACCACUCUGGUCGUUCUGGAUGUCUAACCUAGGUCCGUAAUCCGGAUCAGGGACAGUGCCUGGUGGGUAGUUUAACUGGGGCGGUUGCCUCCUAAAAGGUAACGGAGGCGCCCAAAGGUUCCCUCAGCCUGGUUGGCAAUCAGGUUUUGAGUGUAAGUGCACAAGGGAGCUUGACUGUGAGACUGACAAGUCGAACAGGGACGAAAGUCGGGACUAGUGAUCCGGCGGUGGCUUGUGGAAGCGCCGUCGCUCAACGGAUAAAAGGUACCCCGGGGAUAACAGGCUGAUCUUGCCCAAGAGUCCAUAUCGACGGCAUGGUUUGGCACCUCGAUGUCGGCUCGUCGCAUCCC
rnacentral:rRNA from 1 species